UUGUGAUUCUUUUUUAUUUGUUUUUAUUUGAACGUAGAUUAAAUUUAAAUAAUGUAAUUAUGUAGUGUAAACCUCGCAGGGGGAAAGGGGUAAAACACGCAUUUUCGUUGGGAGCUAGAUAACAUUUUUAUUUUUGGUGUCUGCGGGCAGGACAUGCUUGGCUCAGCUUCUGGAAUUACCGAUGAAAUGCAACGAAGUUCCAGUCUUCAUUCCGGUCGCUGCCUCGGAGAAACAGUAACGUGCUGUAUGUUUCUGUGUUUUUCCUUGUAGUUGCAUUCAAAUGUUUUUGUACUUUUUGUACUUUGUAGACUUGUAAAAGCGUUAACCAUUAAUGUAGCCGUGCUUUGACACUUUGUAAUUGAAAUGCAUGUUCAUUUUCACUUCGAAGC